UUUGCUUGUUUAAAUUUUAAAGCUUUUCAUUAUCCAAAAUCAUUAUGCAGGGAUUUCUAAACCCAUUGAACAUAAUGAUCCAACUCCAUCUCCCAAUUUUGAAUUCCCUGUAUUGGAGGCAGAGGAAGAUGAUGUUGAAGGGGAUUCCUGACGAGAUUACCCGACUUCUUGAGCAUAAAAAGAAGAUCAUUCAGCUGCAUCUUGAGAACCAGAAACAG
rnacentral:lncRNA from 1 species